rnacentral:misc_RNA from 1 species
CAUUCUCAAAACCUUCUUGGUUUCUUCGACCAGGAAGGUUUUGGACUCUGGAGGUUCUUGCUGGCCUUCCUUUGUUGAAGCCAGCUCCUCUGAAAUGAAUUAGUGGGGUGUGCUUUGCUGAUCCUCGACGUGAUAAGAUAUUUCUACGUCUUGGGUCUUGCACUGUUUCCUGCUUCUAACCGUCUUGUAGAAGACAAUUGGCCGAGUGAUUGCCACUCGGCCCACAAA